AUAUCUGUCUGUUCAUUGACAGAUCUUGGCAAAUUUUAGUAUUGUUUUGUAUUUGUAAAUUCAAGAAAUAAUCCAGUGAUUCCGAUAAUUAUGGAAUUUUAAAUAUCACACAAAUAAUAAACUUUAAUAAUGAUAAAUUGGUAACAACGUAAACUUGAGCUAUGGUAAAUUUCUUCACAUCGACAUAUCCGAAAAAUGUUUGUAAAAUUCCACACAAAAUAGGCGUACAUAAUUCGCCUCAUUGCUUUUCAAUUAUCAAAGGUAAAUUCGUGCCAAAUGAUAUUCACAAUAAAAUGCCGGUUCAAAGUAUCAAAGCUUCGAAAGAGAAAAUAGUAGACAGCCUAAAAAUGUCAGAACCAUCAUCCAGCCAAAAUGAAAAAGGUAAUCUCUUUAAAAAGACCCAGUAUGAAGACGAUGAACAUAAAAAGAAAAUGGAAGAACCGGAGUUAUAGAAAACGCAAAAAUAAAACGGGGAAAAGGUUGAAAAGAAUGUUCUACGCCUGUUUAAUCUUUAUUUGUCCCGUUGAAUAGUUGGUACAAUUAUUUGCCGUUUAAUAAACCAAAGGCUUUAUCAUAUUAAGUUUGAUUUUCAAACCAUCUUUUAAGAAUAUUUUAGCAACAUAAAAUGGUAGAGCCCUCAAUAACAUCUAUCGCAAGAAUAGGCCAGCUCGCACAGUGCAAUACCACGACCACACAGAAGACAGGCGUGAAGUGGAAGCAAUUCAGCGUUUCGUUCGAUACUGCAGGUUCUCUUCCUAUGGAAGUGAUGGAAAGAGAAGGUAGAUUGUAUUGAGGAGAGGAAGUAUAGAAAGAAUUUCGACUGCUCUGUUUUUACAAGAUCGCGGUCGAAUUUAAAGUAAUAAAAUAAAAAAGUAGGACGUAUGAUGUGCAAGUUGAUGGUAGGCAGUUGAUUGGCCACAUGCUACGUAGUACGGACAGGGAGAUUAUCUUCACAAACACAGAUAUGGCCCCAUGCUGCGCGCUUCAUGUAGCUCCUGUUCACAUGGCCUUGUAUAAUACGUUAGUAGGAAACAUCCUCGAUGCCUGUCAAUAACUUUAAAAUAUUUAGUAAAGGCACAAUAUUUAACACGCCUAAACAAUGGGCUCAAGUUAAGGGAUGUAUAGUGACAUUCAAUGGACAUUAGUAAUAACAAGAAACAUAUCGGACAAUUUUAUCUUCAUAUCGCCGUUCGUAUUAACUAAUUAAAGUAACAAACGUGUCUCUAUCAUUCAUUUCAACAU